rnacentral:rRNA from 1 species
GAUUGAACGCUGGCGGCAUGCCUAACACAUGCAAGUCGAACGAUCUCUUCGGAGAUAGUGGCGCACGGGUGCGUAACGCGUGGGAAUCUGCCCUUGGGUUCGGAAUAACAGUUGGAAACGACUGCUAAUACCGGAUGAUGACGUUAAGUCCAAAGAUUUAUCGCCCAGGGAUGAGCCCGCGUUAGGAUUAGCUAGUUGGUGAGGUAAAGGCUCACCAAGGCGACGAUCCUUAGCUGGUCUGAGAGGAUGAUCAGCCACACUGGGACUGAGACACGGCCCAGACU